rnacentral:rRNA from 1 species
GACGAACGCUGGCGGCGUGCUUAACACAUGCAAGUCGUACGGUAAGGCCCUUUCUGGGGUACACGAGUGGCGAACGGGUGAGUAACACGUGAGUAACCUGCCCACAACUUUGGGAUAACGCUAGGAAACUGGGGCUAAUACUGGACAUGUGCUCCUGCUGCAUGGUGGGGGUUGGAAAGCUCCGGCGGUUGUGGAUGGACUCGCGGCCUAUCAGCUUGUUGGUGGGGUAGUGGCCUACCAAGGCGGCGACGGGUAGCCGGCCUGAGAGGGUGACCGGCCACAUUGGGACUGAGAUACGGCCCAGACUCCUACGGGAGGCAGCAGUGGGGAAUAUUGCACAAUGGGCGCAAGCCUGAUGCAGCAACGCCGCGUGCGGGAUGACGGCCUUCGGGUUGUAAACCGCUUUCAGCAGGGACGAAGCUUUUUGUGACGGUACCUGCAGAAGAAGCACCGGCUAACUACGUG